rnacentral:rRNA from 1 species
AGAGUUUGAUCAUGGCUCAGAACGUACGCUGGCGGCACGCCUAACACAUGCAAGUCGAACGAAGUAGCAAUACUUAGUGGCAGACGGGUGAGUAACAUGUGGGUAUCUGCCCUUUGGCCUGGAAUAACACGAGGAAACUUGUGCUAAUACCGGAUAAGUCUUUACAGAGAAAGCUUUAUGCACCAUUGGAUGAGCCCGCACUUGAUUAGUUUGUUGGUGGGGUAAUGGCCUACCAAGACUGUGAUCAAUAGCUGAUUUGAGAGGAUGAUCAGCCACAUUGGGACUGAGACACGGCCCAAACUCCUACGGGAGGCAGCAGUGGGGAAUCUUGCACAAUGGAGGAAACUCUGAUGCAGCGAUGCCGCGUGAGUGAAGAAGGCCCUUGGGUUGUAAAGCUCUUUCGUCGGGGAAGAAAAUGACUGUACCCGAAUAAGAAGGUCCGGCUAACUUCGUGCCAGCAGCCGCGGUAAUACGAAGGGACCUAGCGUAGUUCGGAAUUACUGGGCUUAAAGAGUUCGUAGGUGGUUGAAAAAGUUAGUGGUGAAAUCCCAGAGCUUAACUCUGGAACUGCCAUUAAAACUUUUCAGCUAGAGUAUGAUAGAGGAAAGCAGAAUUUCUAGUGUAGAGGUGAAAUUCGUAGAUAUUAGAAAGAAUACCAAUUGCGAAGGCAGCUUUCUGGAUCAUUACUGACACUGAGGAACGAAAGCAUGGGUAGCGAAGAGGAUUAGAUACCCUCGUAGUCCAUGCCGUAAACGAUGUGUGUUAGACGUUGGAAAUUUAUUUUCAGUGUCGCAGCGAAAGCGAUAAACACACCGCCUGGGGAGUACGACCGCAAGGUUAAAACUCAAAUGAAUUGACGGGGACCCGCACAAGUAGUGGAGCAUGUGGUUUAAUUCGAAGAUACGCGCAGAACCUUACCAACACUUGACAUGUUCGUCGCGACUCUAAGAGAUUAGAGUUUUCGGUUCGGCCGGACGAAACACAGGUGCUGCAUGGCUGUCGUCAGCUCGUGUCGUGAGAUGUUGGGUUAAGUCCCGCAACGAGCGCAACCCUCACUUUUAGUUGCCAUCAUUAAGUUGGGCACUCUGAAAGAACUGCCAGUGAUAAGCUGGAGGAAGGUGGGGAUGACGUCAAGUCCUCAUGGCCCUUACGUGUUGGGCUACACACGUGCUACAAUGGUAUCUACAACAGGAAGCAAGACUGCGAGGUCAAGCAAAUCCUUAAAAGAUACCUCAGUUCGGAUUGCACUCUGCAACUCGAGUGCAUGAAGCUGGAAUUACUAGUAAUCGUGGAUCAGCGUGCCACGGUGAAUGCGUUCCCGGGUCUUGUACACACCGCCCGUCACACCAUGGGAGUUGGUUCUACCUUAAGGCAAGGUUUCAAACCCUUGACCACGGUAUAGUCAGCGACUGGGGUGAAGUCGUAACAAGGUAACCGUA